UCUCCUGGGAAACGGGUGGUAAUGCCGGAUGCUCCAGUUGAUCGCAUGGUCUUCUGGGAAAGCUUUCGCGGUAUGGGAUGGGGUCGCGUCCUAUCAGCUUGACGGCGGGGUAACGGCCCACCGUGGCUUCGACGGGUAGCCGGCCUGAGAGGGCGACCGGCCACAUUGGGACUGAGAUACGGCCCAGACUCCUACGGGAGGCAGCAGUGGGGAAUAUUGCACAAUGGGCGCAAGCCUGAUGCAGCGACGCCGCGUGAGGGAUGGAGGCCUUCGGGUUGUAAACCUCUUUUAUCGGGGAGCAAGCGAGAGUGAGUUUACCCGUUGAAUAAGCACCGGCUAACUACGUGCCAGCAGCCGCGGUAAUACGUAGGGUGCAAGCGUUAUCCGGAAUUAUUGGGCGUAAAGGGCUCGUAGGCGGUUCGUCGCGUCCGGUGUGAAAGUCCAUCGCUUAACGGUGGAUCCGCGCCGGGUACGGGCGGGCUUGAGUGCGGUAGGGGAGACUGGAAUUCCCGGUGUAACGGUGGAAUGUGUAGAUAUCGGAAAGAAACACCA
rnacentral:rRNA from 1 species